CGAGGCGUAGCGCAGCCCGGUAGCGUACAAGUCUGGGGGACUUGGGGUCGUCGGUUCAAAUCCGGUCGCCUCGA
rnacentral:tRNA from 1 species